UGGGGAAUAUUGGACAAUGGGGGCAACCCUGAUCCAGCAAUGCCGCGUGUGUGAAGAAGGUCUUCGGACUGUAAAGCACUUUCGACGGGGACAAUGAUGACGGUACCCGUAGAAGAAGCCCCGGCUAACUUCGUGCCAGCAGCCGCGGUAAUACGAAGGGGGCUAGCGUUGCUCGGAAUGACUGGGCGUAAAGGGCGUGUAGGCGGUUUACACAGUCAGAUGUGAAAUCCCCGGGCUUAACCUGGGAGCUGCAUUUGAUACGUGUAGACUAGAGUGUGAGAGAGGGUUGUGGAAUUCCCAGUGUAGAGGUGAAAUUCGUAGAUAUUGGGAAGAACACCGGUGGCGAAGGCGGCAACCUGGCUCAUGACUGACGCUGAGGCGCGAAAGCGUGGGGAGCAAACAGGAUUAGAUACCCUGGUAGUCCACGCUGUAAACGAUGUGUGCUAGAUGUUGGGUAACUUUGUUAUUCAGUGUCGCAGUUAACGCGUUAAAGCACACCGCCUGGGGAGUACGGCCGCAAGGUUGAAAC
rnacentral:rRNA from 1 species